rnacentral:lncRNA from 1 species
CGGAGAAUGCAGUGGGAUCAGAACCCUAGAGUGGGCAUGAAGAGGAGAAAAAACAAAUUCUGAAAUCACCAUGGAAACACUACAGAGAUAACCUUCAUAUUCUGGGCAUCAGCACAAUCCUCCAAAUCCCUUUUGAAAACAAAUGCAUCCUUAUUGCUACGGCAGCCACUUAAUCUAGACACAAAUACAGCUAUAUUAGGUGCACUGUAAUGAAAAGUGAGGAAAGGAGAGUAGAGGAGGAGGAGGAGAGAUAAAAUAUUUUAGAGAACAUUUAUAAACAUUCCUUGUAAAGUUGAUAAACAAUCUUUGAAAGACACAGAAUCCAAAAUACAUACGAAGAUUAUGUGGAUUACAAAAGAAAGCACUGCUCAACUUGACCCUAUCAGCUUUACCUGACUUCCUGGGAGGUACAGAACAAGGUACGUAUGGGGAUCCAGCAAUUCUGAAGACUACGCCAUGCCUCCAACAGAGGGCUUCUUGGGUUGAAAGUGUGUGGGUAACAUUUACCAUAACAAUAACUACCACAACUACAGCUAAUAAAUGCACUUAAGCAGA